UACGUAGGGGGCGAGCGUUGUCCGGAAUCAUUGGGCGUAAAGCGCGUGUAGGCGGCCCGGUAAGUCCGCUGUGAAAGUCCAGGGCUCAACCCUGGGAUGCCGGUGGAUACUGUCGGGCUAGAGUCCGGAAGAGGAGUGUGGAAUUCCUGGUGUAGCGGUGAAAUGCGCAGAUAUCAGGAGGAACACCAAUGGCGAAGGCAGCACUCUGGGACGUGACUGACGCUGAGACGCGAAAGCUAGGGGAGCGAACAGG
rnacentral:rRNA from 1 species